GUCAGAACCAGAUACGGUUGGCUGGUCUGUGGCGUUGAGGGUAAGAAGGGACCAGGUGCACACGUCGCGCGUGUCAACCGCAUCAAGAUGCUGGAAGAUCCCGAGCUCGAGUUCCUUGACAGCCAUGAUAGUCGCAGAGGCUACUCAGUCGAGGACGUCAAGUGGUGCCUCAAGGUGGAAGAUACAUGCAAGAAGGACGGAAAGAAGUACGAAAUCGGUCUGCCAUUCCGAGAUGCGAAACCCGAUCUGCCAGACAACAGAGUGAUGGCAGCAAGACGACUGGAAUCACUGAGAAGAAAGUUCGAGAAGGAUCCAAGAUAUGCAGCUGACUACAAGGAGCAGAUGAAGAAGCUUCUGGUUCAAGGAUAUGCUGAGGAAGCAGCACCAGACUCAGAAGAAGGAAAAGAAGAGCGCUGGUAUAUCCCGCACCAUGGGGUGUAUCACCCGACCAAAAACAAGCUUAGAGUAGUUUUUGAUUGCAGCGCGUCAUACAAUGGAGUGAGUCUGAAUAAUGUACUCAUGCAAGGCCCGAACCUGACGAACUCCCUGGUGGACGUGCUAGUCCGCUUCCGACAAGAGACGGUAGCCUUUACCGGUGACAUCGAGUCCAUGUUUCUUCAGGUGAUGGUACCGGAGAGCGACAGGAACUAUCUGAGCUUCCUGUGGUGGCCAGAAGGCGACACUUCUUCAACACCACGUGUCUUCAGGAUGACAAGACAUCUGUUCGGAGCGACAUCCAGUCCCAGUUGCGCGAACUACGCUCUUCAUCGGACGGCAGAAGACUUCGGCACAGGAUACACCCCCGAAGUGAAGAAGACACUGCAAAGAAGUUUCUAUGUGGAUGACGUAUGCCAAUCGACGACGUCAGAAGCCUCCGCUGCGAAGAUGGCGCAGGACCUGAAGCAGCUGUGCAGCAUGGGUGGCUUCCGACUCACGAAGUUCAACUCCAACAGCACCGAAGUUCUGAGAGCGCUAUCAGAAGAUGACAAGGGAAAGACUGAAACUCACCUUGGACAGGAAACCUCUUCUAGCGAGAGAGUCUUAGGUGUACUCUGGGAUACUCACAGGGAUGAGCUUGGAUUCAGCAUCGACGUAGACGCUCUAAACAGAAGACCACGUACUCGACGCGGAAUACUCUCCGCGACCGCAGCCUGUUACGACCCGUUAGGCCUGGCUGCUCCUCGCGUUCUUCAAGGACGGAUGAUUCUUCAGGAACUGACGCGUCUACGAACCGGCUGGGACGAUGACAUUCCCAAUGAAGUUGAAGAAGAAUGGAACAGAUGGCUGAGUGGGUUGAAGUCCCUGCCAGACGUACGCGUGCCAAGAUGUUAUGAUCCGUAUGGCAUAAGUGCCGCGGAUGCAAUGAGUCUGCACCACUUCAGUGACGCCAGUCUGAAGGGCUAUGGCACCGCGUCAUACAUACGCACUGUGCGCGGAGAUGGUGAAGUGUUCUGUUCCCUGGCUCUUAGCCGAGGCCGAGUCGCUCCGCUCAAAGCGAUUACGGUCCCGCGUCUUGAACUAGCCGCAGCCAAGCUUGCCGUAGACGUGAACCAAGAGCUCUUGCGAGCACUGGACAUGAAGAUCCAUGACGUCACCUUUUGGACGGAUAGCACGACCGUGUUGCGUUACAUCGAGAACGAGACCUCGCGCUAUCACAUCUAUGUGGCGAAUCGACUUGCUGCGAUACACGCUGGAUCGAAGAACGAACAGUGGCGGUACGUACCCUCGUCGCUGAAUCCUGCUGACAUGGUUUCAAGAGGAGUACUGCAAGACAGCGACAUGUGGUACAACGGCCCGCCAUUUCUCAGGAGCUCACAGGAGAAUUGGCCAAGGUCUCCGUGCGUCGGUGAGAUUCACCCGGAUGACCCGGAAGUGAAGCAAGCGAAGACAAGUUCGGCAGCUGUCGUCGUGCAGAACAAGAAGGCUGACAACUCCAGCGCCAAUCCCAUCGAUCGUCUGAUUGAAUAUCAUUCGUCAUGGAAGAGACUCACGAGAGCGGUGGCAUGGAUCCGCCGAACGAUCAAGACUCUGCAGCUGAAGGCCAGAGACGAGCAGGGAGCCUCCAAUGUGAGGGAGCUCACUCCUGCUGACAUAGAAGAUGCCGAGAGGAUCAUCGUGAAGCAUGUUCAGAAAACUCAUUUUCUGCAAGAACUGACUGACCUGGGAGUGGGACGUGAGGUGCGAUGUGCCAGUCGUCUGGCGCGGCUGAGCCCAUUCGUGGAGGACGGUCUCAUCAGGAUGCGCGGACGCUUGAUGAACUCUGCGUUGGACUGGGCUGCCAAGCAUCCUCUGAUUCUCCCAGACAAGGACAAGGUAACUGACCUGAUCAUCGCUGAUCGUCACGAGAGGGCAGGACACGAAGGACGCCAGUAUGUUCUUUCUGAACUCAGGACUCGAUACUGGGUACUGAAAGGGAACAGCGCAGUACGACGGUGUUUGCACAGAUGUGUGAAGUGCAGAAGACGACAGCGCCCAGUUGAGGGACAGAAGAUGGCAGACUUGCCACAGGAUCGUGUAGAGGAGGCCACUCACCCGUUCAGUAGCACUGGUGUAGAUUACUUCGGGCCGCUAUACGCCAAGAGAGGUAGAGGUCAGGUGAAGAAGUUUGGAGUCAUUUUCACAUGCCUCAGCACGAGAGCCGUGCAUCUCGAGCUCGCAGACAACCUUUCUGCGGACUCAUUCAUUUGUGCCUUGCGCCGCUUCAUUGCAAGACGCGGGAACGUUCGCCUGAUGCGUUCCGACAGGGGAACGAACUUCACAGCAGCAGACAAGGAGCUGAAGGAAGAAGUUGAUGCACUGCACGCGAACGAAGAGAAGUUGAAGAGAGCGAUGCUGGACAAGGGCAUCGAGUGGAUGUUCAACGUUCCUGCCGCUUCCCACCACGGCGGUGUGUGGGAGCGUCUCAUCAGAGGCGUCCGGAAGAUCCUGAAUGGUCUGUUAACCAGCCAAACAUUCACAGAAGAGACGUUGCACACACUCUUGUGCGAAACCGAGUGCAUCAUGAACAAUCGGCCGCUGGUGCCGGUUUCGUCGGACCCUCGUGACGAGGUGCCUCUGACUCCGAAUCACAUCCUGCAUUUGAAGUGUGUGACACCGGUAUGUGAUUCUUCAAGUGAAGAUGACCUGGAUGGACCCAAGAGAUGGCGACAAGCUGCUUACCUAGCUGAGCAGUUUUGGCGUUCGUGGAGACGGCUAUACUUGCCUCUCCUGCAGCAGCGAUCUCGCGCUGCCACGAGAAGUCGGACGAACCUGCGGAUCGGUGACGUCGUCGUCAUGGUAGACGAAUCGGUACCACGCGGUGUGUGGCCGCUGGGUCUCGUGAAGGAGACCCUGAUGAGUAAGGACGGGCGUGUGCGCUCUGUGAAGGUCCGCGCUCGAGGAACCAUGUUUCUGAGACCUGUCACGAAGGUAGUGAAGAUUCUGGGCGCAGAAGAGCAGUCUUGGUGAAGCGAUGGAGCUGCAGCUACACUGUAUAACACAGCAUGAGUCUAGCAGCACACCGCUAAGUCAUUGACACCGGACACUUUAGAUCAUGACACGCCACACAGGCUCAUGAUACAAUCACAAUGAUAGAAAUCAGGAACGGUGCAUGUAUAUAGGAUGCGUUCUACUUGCGUGUGUUGAUGCUGAUCUCAGCGACGCUUGUUUCGGUAGGCUGUGCAGUGUGCCUAUGUGUUGUUAUAUGUAGGUAUAGUUAAGAAGUUGGUUUUGAACCUGGAUGGUUCAAAGGGGGCGGGUGUUAGCGCCGCACGGCCCCCAGCGGCGGUGCCGUUGCGACGCCGCUCAGCGGCGGUGCCCUCCGCCUAUGGUAACUACGCUAUGUUGCUAUGGUUACCGGAUUGUUUUGUUUUUUACUUUCUUUCGGCUCGAUUUUGACAAGGUCUGGCUAGAAUAUGAAUAAUUACGAAAGAUAAAGACGAAAGAUGUGAUUGAUGACUGGCAAAAAUGUUGUUUGAGUGAAAAGGAAGAAUUUUGGCUAUUGAUUUAAGCAUGAACACUGUUCGUUACGCCGGAGAGUGACAAUUUGUCGUUACGGCUCGGCUCAGGCUCCUGGCUCCUGGCUCCUGUUGUACGAGGCUCUGUGGUAUCGGCUCAGGCCGUUAGCGCUGGAAGAAGGAGGAGGAAUGGAGGAGAAAAUAUAGAGGACUGAGAGCCCGUGAACGACGUUUCUCUAUAUUUUC
rnacentral:misc_RNA from 1 species